UACGGGAGGCAGCAGUGGGGAAUAUUGCACAAUGGGCGCAAGCCUGAUGCAGCCAUGCCGCGUGUAUGAAGAAGGCCUUCGGGUUGUAAAGUACUUUCAGCGGGGAGGAAGGCGAUGUGGUUAAUAACCGCGUCGAUUGACGUUACCCGCAGAAGAAGCACCGGCUAACUCCGUGCCAGCAGCCGCGGUAAUACGGAGGGUGCAAGCGUUAAUCGGAAUUACUGGGCGUAAAGCGCACGCAGGCGGUCUGUUAAGUCAGAUGUGAAAUCCCCCGGGCUUAACCCUGGGAACUGCAUUUUGAAACUGGCAGGCUUGAGUCUCGUAGAGGGGGUAGAAUUCCAGGUGUAGCGGUGAAAUGCGUAGAGAUCUGGAGGAAUACCGGUGGCGAAGGCGGGCCCCCUGGACGAAGACUGACGCUCAGGUGCGAAAGCGUGGGGAGCAAACCAGGAUUAGGAUACC
rnacentral:rRNA from 1 species